GACGAACGCUGGCGGCGUGCUUAACACAUGCCAGUCGAACGGAAAGGCCCUGCUUGCAGGGUACUCGAGUGGCGAACGGGUGAGUAACACGUGGGUGAUCUGCCCUGCACUUCGGGAUAAGCCUGGGAAACUGGGUCUAAUACCGGAUAGGAGCCAUUUUUAGUGUGAUGGUUGGAAAGUUUUUUCGGUGUAGGAUGAGCUCGCGGCCUAUCAGCUUGUUGGUGGGGUAAUGGCCUACCAAGGCGGCGACGGGUAGCCGGCCUGAGAGGGUGGACGGCCACAUUGGGACUGAGAUACGGCCCAGACUCCUACGGGAGGCAGCAGUGGGGAAGAUUGCACAAUGGGCGCAAGCCUGAUGCAGCGACGCCGCGUGGGGGGUGACGGCCUUCGGGUUGGAAACUCCUUUCGCUAGGGACGAAGCUUUUUGUGACGGUACCUAGAUAAGAAGCACCGGCUAACUACGUG
rnacentral:rRNA from 1 species